AACGCACAUUGCGCCUCCCGGUAUUCCGGGAGGCACGCCUGUUCGAGCGCCAUUACACACCCCAAGCCAUGCUUGAUGUUGGACGACGCGGGGUAACCCGCCCGUCUGGAACGUGUGGGCGUCCGCCGGGGGCCCAGGAGCGUAGCAAGACAUCGCGUCAUUCGCUCUGCUGGGCCCCGACGGUGGGCAGCCGAAAGUGGACAGCAAUGUCCUUUUAUCAUCCAAAAGUUUGGCCUCGGAUCAGGCGGGGAUACCCGCUGAACUUAA
rnacentral:misc_RNA from 1 species